rnacentral:lncRNA from 1 species
AUGACUUUGGCUGAUCUUUUAGAUGAGAGUAAAAUGGUUCUUGUUUCGUAUGGGGAUUUAGAAGUUGAAAUUAAUGGAAUUCAACACGAUUCUAGGCUUGUAAUUUCUGGUAAUUUGUUUGUGUGUUGUGUUGGAAGUAAAAAUGACGGACACAUGUUCUUGAGAGAGGCUGAUAAAAGAGGAUAUGAUGUUGUUAAGUUAACACUCAUAACCGUUACUUCUCUACCUUACUUAAAUUGA